GGACAUAUCACGUUGCAACAUCGGUUCUCGUACGAUCACUGAAGUUAAGCAAGUCGAGCCUGGUCAGUACUUAGAUGGGUGACCGCUUGGAAAUAUCAGGUGCAG
rnacentral:rRNA from 1 species